GGGAAACUGGGUCUAAUACCGGAUAUGACUCCUCAUCGCAUGGUGGGGGGUGGAAAGCUUUUGCGGUUUUGGAUGGACUCGCGGCCUAUCAGCUUGUUGGUGAGGUAAUGGCUCAACAAGGCGACGACGGGUAGCCGGCCUGAGAGGGUGACCGGCCACACUGGGWCUGAGACACGGCCCAGACUCCUACRRGAGGCAGCAGUGGGGAAUAUUGCACAAUGGGCGAAAGCCUGAUGCAGYGACGCCGCGUGAGGGAUGACAGGCCUUCGGGUUGUAAACCUCUUUCAGUAGGGAAGAAGCGAAAGUGACGGUACCUGCAGAAGAAGCGCCGGCUAACUACGUGCCAGCAGCCGCGGUAAUACGUAGGGCGCAAGCGUUAUCCGGAAUUAUUGGGCGUAAAGAGCUCGUAGGCGGUUUGUCGCGUCUGCCGUGAAAGUCCGGGGCUCAACUCCGGAUCUGCGGUGGGUACGGGCAGACUAGAGUGAUGUAGGGGAGACUGGAAUUCCUGGUGUAGCGGUGAAAUGCGCAGAUAUCAGGAGGAACACCGAUGGCGAAGGCAGGUCUCUGGGCAUUAACUGACGCUGAGGAGCGAAAGCAUGGGGAGCGAACAGGAUUAGAUACCCUGGUAGUCCAUGCCGUAAACGUUGGGCACUAGGUGUGGGGGACAUUCCACGUUUUCCGCGCCGUAGCUAACGCAUUAAGUGCCCCGCCUGGGGAGUACGGCCGCAAGGCUAAAACUCAAAGGAAUUGACGGGGGCCCGCACAAGCGGCGGAGCAUGCGGAUUAAUUCGAUGCAACGCGAAGAACCUUACCAAGGCUUGACAUGGACCGGAUCGCCGCAGAAAUGUGGUUUCUCCUUUGGGGCCGGUUCACAGGUGGUGCAUGGUUGUCGUCAGCUCGUGUCGUGAGAUGUUGGGUUAAGUCCCGCAACGAGCGCAACCCUCGUUCCAUGUUGCCAGCACGUAGUGGUGGG
rnacentral:rRNA from 1 species